rnacentral:rRNA from 1 species
UGGGGAAUUUUGGACAAUGGGCGAAAGCCUGAUCCAGCAAUGCCGCGUGUGUGAAGAAGGCCUUCGGGUUGUAAAGCACUUUUGUCCGGAAAGAAAUGGCUCUGGUUAAUACCUGGGGUCGAUGACGGUACCGGAAGAAUAAGGACCGGCUAACUACGUGCCAGCAGCCGCGGUAAUACGUAGGGUCCAAGCGUUAAUCGGAAUUACUGGGCGUAAAGCGUGCGCAGGCGGUUGUGCAAGACCGAUGUGAAAUCCCCGAGCUUAACUUGGGAAUUGCAUUGGUGACUGCACGGCUAGAGUGUGUCAGAGGGGGGUAGAAUUCCACGUGUAGCAGUGAAAUGCGUAGAGAUGUGGAGGAAUACCGAUGGCGAAGGCAGCCCCCUGGGAUAACACUGACGCUCAUGCACGAGAGCGUGGGGAGCAAACAGGAUUAGAUACCCUGGUAGUCCACGCCCUAAACGAUGCUCAACUAGUUGUUGGGGAUUCAUUUCCUUAGUAA